rnacentral:rRNA from 1 species
UACGUAGGGUGCAAGCGUUGUCCGGAAUUAUUGGGCGUAAAGAGCUCGUAGGUGGUCUGUCGCGUCGGCUGUGAAAACUCGGGGCUCAACCCCGAGCCUGCAGUCGAUACGGGCAGACUUGAGUGCGGUAGGGGAGACUGGAAUUCCUGGUGUAGCGGUGAAAUUCGUAGAUAUCGGAAGGAACGCCGGUGGCGAAAGCGGCGCGCUGGACCUCUUCUGACGCUGAGGCGCGAAAGCCAGGGGAGCAAAGCGGG